CUCGUAGGCGGUUUGUCGCGUCUGCUGUGAAAACUGGAGGCUCAACCUCCAGCCUGCAGUGGGUACGGGCAGACUAGAGUGCGGUAGGGGAGAUUGGAAUUCCUGGUGUAGCGGUGGAAUGCGCAGAUAUCAGGAGGAACACCGAUGGCGAAGGCAGAUCUCUGGGCCGUAACUGACGCUGAGGAGCGAAAAGCAGUGGGAGCGAACA
rnacentral:rRNA from 1 species